AUUAUCAACCACGAACUACCGAAGAUUUAUUCUUGCCCUAAAAUGAGCAUACUCAACGACGCCAUUUUGCCUAGCUAGGCGGCUAACGUUAGUUAGCACGACCAUGAUGUAGUUAAUAGCAUUGAUUUGCAUCGACUGUAUGGAUUUUGUACCGUUUAUAUUUUCUAAUUUAAUGUCCAGUUACUCAUUUAUGUUAACAUUUAAUGUCUUUUCAGUGUAUUUUGUAAUUUAAAGCUAGCAUAUGUUAGCCCAAGUGGUUUGCAGCUGUUGUAACGUUAGCUAAUUCACAUCAAGUAACGUUAUAUUUUGAAUUAACGAGUCUACUGAGACUGCUGUCGAGAAACAGUUACCAAUGUACAUUUACUCAUCAUUGCAGGUUGAGUUGGGAAGAAGCAAAAUGGCGGAAGAAGUUUCAGAUAUGAAGUUUGAAGUUGUUAAAGGGCAUAUUUGAUGAAGCUGAUGGUGUUGAUGCAUGCUAAUGUAAAAUGAAGCUGGCAGAAGCGAGCGGCCACGCUGUCCACUGGUAGAGUGAUGUAAUGGCAGAAAUCAAAUGGGAGGAAGGAAGUGGGGGAAGAGGAGAGAAAAAUGAAGUCAGAAAUGGUGUGAAACGGAAGAAAGAAGAAAAGAGAUGGUUGUUUUGAAGUUAUGAAGUUAAAGAAGUGAUGAAGUUAUGAGAAGUGUUCGGGGGUAUGGUUAAUUCCCUA